rnacentral:rRNA from 1 species
CUACGUAGCUCAGAGUUUGAUCCUGGCUCAGAACGAACGCUGGCGGCAGGCUUAACACAUGCAAGUCGAGCGAGGUUUUCGGACCUAGCGGCGGACGGGUGAGUAACGCGUGGGAACGUGCCCUUUGCUACGGAUAGCCCCGGGAAACUGGGAGUAAUACCGUAUGUGCCCUUUGGUCUUGGCGAUCAUUGGGGAAAGAUUUAUCGGCAAAGGAUCGGCCCGCGUUGGAUUAGGUAGUUGGUGGGGUAAUGGCCCACCAAGCCGACGAUCCAUAGCUGGUUUGAGAGGAUGAUCAGCCACACUGGGACUGAGACACGGCCCAG